UCCAGCUGCUCAGAAGCUGAGCAUUUCACUAUUUCACUCCCAGUGAAGCAAGUCAGCCAGCGGUUCUACUCAAAGAUCUUCCAGCAACAAAAGGGGGAUGGGGGGUGGGGAGGCAGCGGAACAGGACAGUGGAUUCCAUCAGCCUGCCUACCUCACAAGCCUCAGCAGAACCACAGUAAAUUCCAGCUGCUCCAACUCGCUGCUUGACCCACGUGUUUCUCUCCCAUCACACACCAACCUGAUGACAGAGCUCACCCAACAGGCAGCUAUCGGACAAGGAUUACGAGACAAGAACUACGAGAUUUCAUUCAGAACAAGGCACGUAUUACUCCAUCUUGCAUCUCAGAUGGCAAACAUAACCAAACACCCUGGAAUAUAGAACAAAUUCCUGGUAACAGCAUAACAGCAGAGAAACUUGGACUAGCACACAGAAUUAACCUGAGGUCUACGAAAUACCAAAUGGCAAAGGCAAUGCUCAGCCAAGAUGCUGUAUCAGAAGAACCUGGUGGCAGACAGAACUUUGAAGUGAUACAGUUCCUUGGUUAUUAACUUCAGAAGGCAACACUGCAUAUCUCAUCUUUUCAGACACCAAAGAUCUGCUGCUGACCAUAGCGUAAACAAAACUCUGAUAAACAGAAUUCUGAUAUGCAGUCGAGAAGCUUCCUAACUGCCCCCCAACAAGACAAUAUUCCAUGCUCCAGUCAACCAAUACUUAUUUUUCAGUCUCACCACGUAAGAAACAUAGAACCAGAAGGGUCAGUAGGUGCAAGACGUGUAUGACAAACAAUAUUUUCAGCUACAUACUGACAAGGUACUUUUACAGAUAGAUCCCCUAGCUAAACCUCAGCUGUUUCCCUAGGAGCUCCAGGGGACACCCACCCUCUAAUCACCACCAACGCAACUACAACAGCACAACUAGGAAACAUACACAGCCGUUCUACACGGCUGCACCUACAGCAUCACAUCCACUUCUGAUAGAAGUAUCCUCGGUUCAAGUCAUCACUAUGUUGUUUAUAAACAGUGGACC